rnacentral:RNase_P_RNA from 1 species
GAAGUGAGCCAGACGAUCGCUGCUGUGGAAAUCUCCGUGAUUGAAGCAGGGGAGGAAAGUCCGGGCUUCAUAGGGCAAGGUGCCAGGUAACGCCUGGGCGGUGUAAACCGACGGCAAGUGCAGCAGAGAGAAGACCGCCUUCAUUAUGUUUUCGAGCAAUCGGAAUCGAAGGUAAGGGUGAAAGGGUGCGGUAAGAGCGCACCGCAUGGCUGGUAACAGUUCAUGGCGAGGUAAACCCCACCGGAAGCAAGACCAAAUAG